rnacentral:tRNA from 1 species
AGCGGAGUAGGGCAGUCAGGAGUGCCCGAUGGGCUCAUAACCCAUAGGUCAGUGGUUCAAAUCCACUCUCCGCUA